rnacentral:rRNA from 1 species
CGCGUAGGCGGGCUUCCAGGCCCGCGGUGAAAUCCCCCGGCUCAACCGGGGAAGUGCCGCGGGGACCGGGAGUCUGGAGUGAGAUAGGGGCGUGCGGAACUGUGGGUGGAGCGGUGAAAUGCGUUGAUAUCCACAGGAACUCCGGUGGCGAAGGCGGCACGCUGGAUCUCUACUGACGCUGAGGCGCGAAAGCCAGGGGAGCAACG